rnacentral:misc_RNA from 1 species
GAUUGUUUUAAGCUAGUGCAGUCCGUAGGAAGCAUAAAGUGCUGGCCUAGGUGCUGGCUGAUGGGUGGGCCUGGUCAGUUAGCCAGAAGUGACACUAACAAGCGUAAUUUCGCAUGUUUCGUACUGGCGAUCGCUAAGCUGACAGGCGUUGGCAAAUUUCAGCCGCUCGCAGCUCGCCCUGCACUUCGCAUCCGCCGAAUUGGCCACGGCUGCAGUGCCCAGUACCAGUGCCAGUGCCAGUUAAAAGACACGACUCUCAAGAUCCGAAAGAGGAAGAAGAACGGCAACAAAGUCAGAAAACCGGACUGUGCAUGUGGAUGGUCUGAGGGUACGAGGACUGGGAACUGGGAACUGGGGACGGAGGAC